AUUUGUCUGGUUAAUUCCGAUAACGAACGAGACCUUAACCUGCUAACUAGUUCUCAAUACACUGUAUUGUGAUACUUCUUAGAGGGACUAUGUAAAUCAAUUACAUGGAAGUUUGAGGCAAUAACAGGUCAGUGAUGCCCUUAUAUGUCCUGGGCUGCACGCGUGCUACACUGAUGCAUACAACAAGUGCCUAGCCAGAUAUGGUAUGGCAAUCUCGAAUAUGCAUCGUGAUGGGGAUAGAUCUUUGCAAUUAUAGAUCUUGAACGAGGAAUUCCUAGUAAGUGCAAGUCAUCAUCUUGCAUUGAUUAUGUCCCUGCCCUUUGUACACACCGCCCGUCGCUCCUACCGAUACCGGGUGAUCCGGUGAACCUUUUGGACUCCGUAUGGGGAAAGAUAAGUAAACCAUAUCACCUAGAGGAAGGAGAAGUCGUAACAAGGUUUCCGUAGGUGAACCUGCRGAAGGAUCA
rnacentral:rRNA from 1 species